GACGAGCCACACGAACGUUAUUCGGAAUUACUGGGCUUAAAGGGUGCGUAGGCGGUGCGGAAAGUUGGGUGUGAAAUCCCUCGGCUCAACCGAGGAACUGCGCCCAAAACUACCGCACUCGAGGAAGAUAGAGGUGAGCGGAACUUACGGUGGAGCGGUGAAAUGCGUUGAUAUCGUAAGGAACACCCGUGGCGAAAGCGGCUCACUGGGUCUUUUCUGACGCUGAUGCACGAAAGCUAGGGGGAGCAAACGGG
rnacentral:rRNA from 1 species